rnacentral:rRNA from 1 species
GACGAACGCUGGCGGCGUGCUUAACACAUGCCAGUCGAACGGAAAGGCCCUGCUUUUGUGGGGUGCUCGAGUGGCGAACGGGUGAGUAACACGUGAGUAACCUGCCCUUGACUUUGGGAUAACUUCAGGAAACUGGGGCUAAUACCGGAUAGGAGCUCCUGCUGCAUGGUGGGGGUUGGAAAGUUUCGGCGGUUGGGGAUGGACUCGCGGCUUAUCAGCUUGUUGGUGGGGUAGUGGCUUACCAAGGCUUUGACGGGUAGCCGGCUGAGAGGGUGACCGGCCACAUUGGGACUGAGAUACGGCCCAGACUCCUACGGGAGGCAGCAGUGGGGAAUAUUGCACAAUGGGCGGAAGCCUGAUGCAGCAACGCCGCGUGCGGGAUGACGGCCUUCGGGUUGUAAACCGCUUUCGCCUGUGGCGAAGCGUGAGUGACGGUAAUGGGUAAAGAAGCACCGGCUAACUACGUG